CGCUAUUUUCUCACUGAAACUGCUUGCCGACCGAUUGCAGAGGAGAUGAACUCCAAGUCAUGAACAAGACAUUACUGAGCCCCUUUGCUGUGCACACUUAUCUUUACAAGGUUGCGUUGUAACAGCACACAAAAUCGUACCCAAUUCUUGUAGCUCAGAAGCUUGCAUUAAAGUGAAAUGAGGAAGUUCUAUUUAAAGGCCUCAUGGUAUAAGCACCCCUGACCUGACAAAUUCAAGUUCAGAGUGAAUGAGCAGGAGAAUGGUAGAUGAAGAAGUGAGCAGGGCGAUCAGAGUCUGUUUGGAGCCUCUUUGGAAGAGGAAGUCAGAUUAGAUAAAGACUCAAGGGAGAAGCCUUGAUAACAGAAUGAGAACUCCUGAGAACAGAUACCAGAGAGCUUCUUCUCCCUGCCCUGUGAUAACACCGUGUGACCAGGAAAACCACAUACCACCAUGAGGACCCUCACCAGAACCCGACUAUUUGACACCCUUAUCUUACUCUUAGAGGCUCCAGGACUGUAAGAAAACACACUUCUUUAUUUAAACCACUCAAGUCUGGCUAUUUUCAAUGCUAGCUAAGAUGGCUAAUACAGGCUACAAGAAAACACGGGAGACAAGGCUGCCAGGGGCUUGAGUGGCUCCAAGGUGGCCCUUAAAUUCAGCGAGGAUGGAGACAAUAGGUGGAGGGAGUUCCAGAUGGGAAACUCAGCAGCUCAAAUCUGGACA